UUUAAAGGGAUUUCUUCAGUAGUUCAGAAUAGAUAGAGAGAGAAGAAACAGAUCGUAUGAUGGAGAAUGGAGAGAUGAGAGCGAUAGAGAGAAGAGAAAGCAGUAGAGCAAAUGAAGCCAAAGGUGUUACGUCGGCACCGAUGUAGCGGCGGUGUUCAGGUUUCAACUUACACAAUGUCAUCGUAUUGGAACGCCAAAGGUAUAUCGUAUUCAACCAGCUUCUUACGCGAAUCUCGGAUCUUCUUCUUCUUACAAAUCGAAGACUUAUAAGGUUCGCCGUAGUAGCUCCGGUAUCGGAGUUAGGGAUUCCGAUGGUAACAAGUUUGUUAUUCUAAAUUCCAUGAAAAUAUGUGGAUAUUGAGAAGAGGAAGUUGGAACACUUGGAAAUGGAAUCGAUGAAGAAAGUGUUUGCAGCGUCAACAUUCAGGGAGGCCAGAUGGCAAAUUAGCAAGUUAAGACAUUUUGUGUGUAUUUUUUAAAUUUUGUUUAUUGUAGCACAAAUUAGCUAUGCAAUGGGAGGCAUAUAUAUGCAGUUUUUUUUUUUUUUUUUGAAGAAUCAAGGCCCGAUCUUACCCAAGUUCUCUAUUCGAGGUACUUGACCAUAUUCUACACCAUAUGUGUACAUAAGUGUAUACAAGGGUGUUAAAUGGGUUGAACCAACAAGAAUUAAAACUCAAAAAUGCUUAUGACGAUGUCCUUUUCUCAUGGCACCAAGUAGUUUGGUAAUAUUGCGAAAAAGGGCUUUGUAUAAACUCUGCACUUUUUUUAACAAAUUUAGUCCACUGGAUCAAUGCUUGAUAUACAAAUUGAUCAUUUUUGCAAAUCGAAACGUGAAAUAGACAUUGAUUUUCAUGUGCUAAUAAUUAAGGAAAUAAUAGUUUUAUAGAAAAUGGUCAAAAAUACUUGCCACACACUGCGAUUGCUUCCAAGACAAGGCCAAUGUUGAGAAACGUGGCGAGACUAUUACCCCAAUUAGAGGUUUUUUUGACGUAGUUAAUAUCGAAUGCUAUUGAGUAUGAUUUUUUAUUGAUGUUUGCUUUUGUCUUCUGGUUUUUAAUUGGUUUUCUUUUGAUCUCAACGUGAUAGAAACUCAACUCAAAAACGAUGAAGACUCUUGAUUGUGCAAAAAAGGGUUUUGCUGAAUGUUCGAAUAACACCAUCACCAAUGGAGACCACAUUCUUAUACAACUCCACUGACAAAAGGCUGCUGAAAGAUUUUGGGGGAAUAGAAUUUUGAGUUUAGGGAAGUCAGGACUUGAUUUUUGGUAAUAUUGCUAGAUGUCAAUUUUUUUUUUUUUUUUUUUUUUUUUUGUGUAUAACAUCUGUUGAUUGAUAUGGGUUUAGCUAAAGCUUGAAUCUUUUAGAAAAUUUGAUGAUUAAAUGCUGCUGA